UGGCGGACGGGUGAGUAACACGUGAGUAACCUACCUUUCAAAGGGGGAUAACGUCUGGAAACGGACGCUAAUACCGCAUAAUACUAUUUGAGGGCAUCCUUGGAUAGUCAAAGGAGAAAUCCGAUGGGAGAUGGACUCGCGGCUGAUUAGAUAGUUGGCGGGGUAGAGGCCCACCAAGUCGACGAUCAGUAGCCGGACUGAGAGGUUGAACGGCCACAUUGGGACUGAGACACGGCCCAGACUCCUACGGAAGGCAGCAG
rnacentral:rRNA from 1 species